AGGGGCAUAGUUUAAUGGUAGAAUACCGGUCUCCAAAACCGUUAAUGAUGGUUCGAUUCCUUCUGCCCCUGCCA
rnacentral:tRNA from 1 species